rnacentral:rRNA from 1 species
AAGGCUGACCUCGGAUCAGGUAGGGAUACCCGCUGAACUUACCAUAUCAAUAAGCG